CUUAUUCAAUUCAACUCAUAAUGAGACACAAUACAUUUGUAUACAGUACAAGUUGUGCAUUAUCUUCUAAUUAACUCCAGCCAACUUCUAAUUGAUUUGAUACUAACAAAUUACAAUUUCAGCUAACCAACUUCAAGAGCUAGCUAGUUGUUAUCUGCCUCGAUAACUUGCAACAGAAGCAACAACUACUAACUAAAGUAAAUCCAAACAUUUCAAAAGGCCAUCAGCAUAAAUUGGUAUUAGACAUUACAGAUCAAAAGAAUGGAGAUUCAUCUCAUAAGAAAAAUAAGCUUCAGAGCUCAAUCAACAGAAAAAUUCAUUAGGGUUCAUGUUCGAUUAACAGAUAAAAGAUAGG
rnacentral:lncRNA from 1 species